GGGCGGUUAGCUCAGUUGGUUUAGAGCGUCACGUUUACACCGUGAAGGUCAAAGGUUCAAGUCCUUUACCGCCCA
rnacentral:tRNA from 2 species